rnacentral:siRNA from 1 species
UGGAUGCCGAAUAGAAGAUCUC